CGCCUGUAAUCCCAGCAUUUUGGGAGGCCAAGUGGGGACGGAUCACCUGCGGUCGGGAGUUUGAGAUCAGCCUGACCAACCUGGAGAAACCCCAUCCCUACUAAAAAUACAAAAUUAGCUGGAUGUGGUGGCGCAUGCCUGUAAUCCCAGCUACGCAGGAGGCUGAGGCAUACUGUGUGCUUGCUCCAAGCCACUUCACAGAUAAAGACACUGAACUCAGAGAGCCAAGCGCCUUGGCAAGUCACUUCAUCCCUCUGGACUUUGGCUGCUUUAAGUGUGAAAUGAGAACAAUACAACUGGCUUUACUGGUCUUCUGGGAGACUUCCUUGAGAACCUGGCAUAUGGCUUUUACCACUUUUUAAAGAGACGCGUCAAGGACAACAGAAUCUGUCCCAGGCCAGAAUGUCACAGGGAAGCCAUUUUGCUUCAAAUCAUUUAAGACAGAAAAUCUAAAUGAGAAGAUUCUGGCAGCAUCAAGGAAGGCUCCGAGUGACCCAAAGCUUCAGAUCUAUUAAUCCUUUCAGAGAAAAGAGAAACACAGACACAAGGCACGCCAUUUUUUCUUUAUGAGGAAAUUCAAUCUUGUCACAUUGUCAGAAAAAGCAUCUGUCAAAACUAAAUAGUUUUAAUAUUUUUUUCACUUACAAUCUCUGAAUACAAUGAUCUACACUUCAUCACUUCAUGAAAUGUCGCCCCUCAAUAUCCCUGGGUGAGUCAUUCCAGGACUGCUCUCCAAUAUUAAUGUCUGCGGAUGCUCAAGUUCCUGAUAUAAAAUGGUGCAGUAUUUGCAUAUAACCUAGGCACAUCCUCCUGUAUACUUUAAAUCAUCUCUGGAUUACUUGUAACACCUAAUACGAUGUAAGCACUAUGUCAAUAGUUGUUAUACUGUAUUGGUUUUUAAAUUUGUAUUAUUUUUCAUUGUUACAUAUAUUUUGAACCUUUUUAAAAAAUAUUUUUCAACCAAACUUGGUUGAAUUCACAGAGGUGCAGCUCAUGGAUACAGAGGGUCGACUGUAUAUGACGUUAAACAUCUACUGACUUGAAACAUAAUCUGCUCUUUUACAUAUAUUAUCUGUGGAAUCACUACAAAUGAUGUAAACAGUGGUACAAGGUUUCAUUAUUUUCAAAUGAGGUGGAAUGUAACAUACAAUAUUCAAGUAAAAUUCACCAUGAUUGAUUCAUACACACAUUAUCACUGUAUCUUUCUGAAAGUCAAAGAGAUCUAUAAGAAUGACAAGAAAAGACAGGCAGGUAGCUGGAACUGUGGUCUCACUUCUUAUAGAGAAAAAAAACAAACUACAUUCAGCCCACUCAUACAGCAUUGGUAUUGAAUAUACUUCCACAACUUGACAUUUGUCCAUUUCAGUUAUUUGAUGUAAAUAACUGAAUACAAAGUCAAUAACUGCAAGGUAAGGUUAACAUCUUUAUAAGAAUAUAAAACAAUAAAUUAAAGUCUACCAAGGAAAUCUACUCA
rnacentral:lncRNA from 13 species